ACCUACGGGGGGCAGCAGUAGGGAAUUUUCGUCAAUGGGCGCAAGCCUGAACGAGCAAUGCCGCGUGAACGAGGAAGGUCUUCGGAUCGUAAAGUUCUAUUGAAGGGGAAAAAGAGCGGAGAGAGGAAAUGAACUCCGAUUGAUAUUACCCUUCGAGGAAGUCACGGCUAACUACGUGCCAGCAGCCGCGGUAAUACGUAGGUGGCGAGCGUUAUCCGGAAUGAUUGGGCGUAAAGGGUGCGUAGGCGGCCUGCUAAGUCUGGAGUGAAAGGUACCGGCGCAAACGGUACAGGCACUGGAAACUG
rnacentral:rRNA from 1 species